UCCAGUAGCACCUUAGAGACCAACUAAGUUUGUUAUUGGUAUGAGCUCAUACCAAUAACAAACUUAGUUGGUCUCUAAGGUGCUACUGGA